UGCAGUGCAUGGUGAAGACACGUGAUGAAUGUUAUUAAGCGUUUGUAGUAAGGCCGCCUCCGCCUAUUUCUGUCUUUAGAAACGCUGUAUGGGUUUUGUCCACAGGCCAGCUGGAGUUUUGUGUUGCAGAAGACUUGCAGAAACGAGAUUUGAGAUGCCUCGGACGAAGCAGUCUCAGCGUUCUCAGGCAGCCAAGAAGAGAAUCGUGAACCGGCUAGCUGCUAAUCCUGAAGAGAUCUUGCCACCUGUUAAAAAAAGAAAAGAAAUACAAGAGCCUGAUCCUACUUUUGCCAAUUGUUCCGAAUUUGCCGAUUGUUCCGAAUUUUCCGAUUGUUCCGAAUUUGCCAAAUAUUCCGAAUCUUACCCAAACUCUGACCCAAAGUCUGAUUCAGACGCUAAUUCAAAGUCUAUGCCAAAGUUUCCAAAAGAUGCUGAGAUGACUAUGCAUGCUGUUUCUUCUUUGUCUCCACAGACUUCCUAUAUCAGAGGCUCUUUCCAUCAAGGAGAUUACCGUUUUGGCUGGAAUAGGGGAAGCCAAUGUGGUGCAAACAGUUUAACUGCAAUUGUGAUGUGUAAGAUGAAAAGUGUGUUGCAGUGGACAAGAAGUGACCUGAAUGCUGUUUUGAUCCACGGAAAUGAGCUGUACAGUGCAAUGAGAGACGCAGGGAAGAUCAACGAUCCUGAAUCAGGCUUCAUAGCUGUUCAUGAGCUACCAGACACACACACUCUGAAAGAUUGUCAGUUUUCAAUAAACUAUGGUGAAACAUUGACUGGCUUGUUUGGUGUCAAUAAAUAUGAUGGUGAACUACGAGGGUAUGCAAUGUCAUUUGAUGAAGCAGUAAAUCGAGCAUUCCAGAGGUUUGAUGCAUGCUUAGUGAAUAUUAAGCUAACCAUAUGUGCAGCUGUCAGAGAAGGUUCCUGGUAUGCAGUGAUUGAUCCACAUUCAAGACGCUUUGAUGGCAGAUGUGUAGCUGACGGUAAGAGUGUAGUGGUUUACCAUCGUGACUUGCAUUCUCUGAUUGUUCAUUUCCGGAAACUCGCUGCGUCUAUUAAUGCACGUUACCAUGAGUUUGAGGUAACUGGGGUCAAUGCAGUUAUGAUUGACAGAAACGAUCAACAGGGUAAGCCAUUCUGUCCAGUGAUCCAGAACACUGAACGAGCAGUGAAAGAGACUGAAGGUGAUGUUGGCUGCACUCAAUCUCUGAGUGAUUUUGUAAACUCUGUGAACGAAACUUGUGUAGAACAGAAAAGGGAAAUGGCUUCAUACACAGCUCAUGGAAAUGCAGGUGAUGUUGAAUUUAUUUCAGAAAGUGCCAGUGAUUCUAUACAGUUUAGUCCAUUAACACUUGAGCAACAAAAUAGUGUUUGCUUAAAGCUGAACAUUGCAAAUGUUGUAAAAGAACAAAAUAAUCCAAAUGUGAUGCCAAUGGAAAUUUCUGAGCCUUGUGAAACUAUGAAAAUUGUUAAAGACGCUAACUGCUUUUUUCGAGCCUUAGCCUAUGGUGUAAGUGGAACGGAACGAGAACACAGAAAAGUAAGACGGGCUGUAGUUACACACAUACUGCAGAAUGAAGAAAAGUAUGUACAGUAUCUCAGACAAGGAUACAGCUCUGUACCGGAGUACAUUGCCACAUCAAGAAUGAAAUUUGUUGGAAACUGGGCAACAGAGAUGGAAAUACAAGCAGCCAGUGAUUUAAUUGGUGUAGACAUUUUUACAUACAGUCAAGAGAAAUGGUUUAAGUUUUCAUCUUCAAAUGCGUCCUUUAAUACACAUGGCUGUCAAGACAUCGGCAUAUAUUUGAAACAUGUGAAUAGCUGUCAUUAUGAAGUUGUUGUAUGUGGAAAGAGCAAGGACGGUAACUGUGCUUCCCUUUGUAAAUCAGCAAUUCAAGAUCCAUUGUUUAAUGUAGCAACAAAUGUGUCUUCAGAGUCAUGUGAGGAUUAUAAGAAGAAACUUAAAUGCAACAAUAGUCCUGAGUUCAAAGAAGAAAAACAAGUGAAGUCAAAGAAAAGAUUCCAUGAGGAUGAAAGUUACAUUUCAAUGAUGAAAUCCAUCAAUAAAAAAUAUAAGAAAAAUGAACAGCAUAAAGGAAAAGUAAAGAAAAGUGUGGACAAAUCAAAUGACAAAUCCAAUGAUGUACACUGCGAAGCUGUGUCAGAAGUGGAAGUUGAUAUUGCCUGCAGUCAAUCUUUGAGAGAUGUUAUAAACACAGAUAAAGUAUCUGUGAACGAAAUGUAUGCGGAAAAAAAAACAGAAACACCUUUUUUAUACCUAACAAAUGAAAAUGCAAGUGAUGUUGAAUUUAUUUCAGAAACUGCUACUGUUUCUUUACAGAGUGUGGAAAAGUACAAAACAAAUGACACAGAUGACCAAUCAGAUGAUUUAAAGUGCAAAGCUGUGUCCCAAAUGGAAGCUGAUGUUGUCUGCAGUCAAUUUUCGAGUGAUUUCAUAAGUACAGAUGAAGUAUCCGUGAAUGAAAUGUGUACUGAACAGAAAACAGAAAUGCCUUCUUUGUACCUAACAAAACAGAUUGCAGGUGAUGUUGAAUUUAUUUCAGAAACUGCCACUGUUUCUUUUCAGUUUAGCCCAUUAACAGUACAGCAACAAAAGACUAUUUGCUCAAAGCUGAACAUCGUAAAUGUUGUAAAAGAACAGAAUAAUCGAAAUGAGAUCGUUGAAAUGGCUGAGCCUUGUGAAACAAAAGAAAUUUUGGAGGAUGGUAAUUGUUUUUUUAGAGCUAUAGCGUAUGCUAUAAGUGGAAGUGAAGAAGAACACAGAAAAGUAAGACGGGCUGUAGUUACACACAUACUACACAAUGAAGAAAAGUAUGUACAGUAUCUCAGACAAGGAUACAGCUCUGUACCAGAAUACAUUGCCACAUCAAGAAUGAAAUAUGUUGGAACUUGGGCGACAGAGAUGGAAAUACAAGCAGCCAGUGAUUUAAUUGGUGUAGACAUUUUUACAUAUAGUCAAGACAAAUGGCUUAAAUAUAAAUCUUCAAAUGUCUCCUCUAAUAGACAGAGCUGUCAAGACAAGGGAAUUUAUUUGCAUCAUGUGAAUAGCUGUCAUUAUGAAGUUGUUGUAUGUGUAAAAACCAACAACAAUACCUGUGCUUGCUUUUGUAAAGCAUCUUCUCAAGGUUCAACCUAUUUAAAAACUAGCUCAGACCCACGUAAGCUUUAUAAGCAGAGACUGCAAUAUAGUCGUGAUCAUGAUUUUAAAGAAAAUAAAAAAAUGGAAACUAAGCAAAGAUAUGAUGAGAAUGAAACUUAUAAAGAGACAAAAAUUAAAUGCAGUAGUAAAAAGUACAAGGUAAACAAAUGGCAUCAAGAAAAAGUACGCAAAUACAGCACAGAUAAAUACAGAUUGAAUGAUUUGCAUUGUGAGGCAGUAAAACAAUAUAGUAUACAAAAGUACCAUACAGACAAAGCACAUAAAGACACGGUCAAAAAGAUGAGCAUUCAAAAAUAUAAUGAAAACACAGAACACAGAGAGUCGGUCAAAAAGAUGAGCAUUCAAAAAUAUAAUGAAAACACAGAACACAGAGAGUCGGUCAAAAAGAUGAGCAUUCAAAAAUAUAAUGAAAACACAGAACACAGAGAGUCGGUCAAAAAGAUGAGCAUUCAAAAAUAUAAUGAAAACACAGAACACAGAGACUCAGUCAAAAAGAUGAGCAUUUUAAAGUAUAAUGCAAAUAAACCACACAAAGAGAUGGUUAUAAAUUACAAUGUUCAGAAAUAUAAAACUGAUAUUGCUUUUGUCAAUAAUAUAAAAAUGAGAAAUGCUGCAAGACAAUAUGAAUCACAGCUAAAAAUGAAAGAGAUAGACUAUGUAAUUGAACAAUUUAAACAAAAAAUAUCUACAGGUCCUGAAUAUGUUUGUUCAGUAUGUCAUCGUUGCUGCUUUAAAAUGCAGGUAAAAAAAUGCAAUAAAAAUAAAUACCUUCAAAAAUCAAUUCAUGCUGGUUGUAUGGCAGAAAAAUGUAUUACACUGAAAUAUCUGCAUGAGUGUAAUAAAGAUUGUAGUGAAAACUGUGUCUAUAAAAACAGUCCUGCUGCAUCUUUAUGGAUUUGUCACACAUGUGAUACAAAACUCUGUGAAGGUAAAAUGCCAGCUGAAAGUGUAGCAAAUCAUCUAAGUUUGGAUCCUAUUCCUGCUGAACUGAGCUGUUUAAACUCUCUUGAGCAACAUCUAAUAGGAAAAAAUAUUCCAUUCAUGAAAAUGCUGGCUUUGCCACGAGGAGGACAGAAUGGAAUAUGUGGCCCCGUUGUGUGCAUUCCAUCUAAUGUUACAGAAGUAGUGAAUGUUUUACCAAGAUCAGAAAAUGAUUUUAUGAUACCAAUAAAGCUUAAGAGAAAACUGACAUAUAAAGGGCAUUAUGAGUAUAAAUUUGUGAAUAGUGAUAAAAUUAAAACAGCAUUGACAUAUUUAAAAGAGAAUAACAAAUGGUAUACAGAUGUAGAGUUUAACAAAACUUGGAUUAAUCCUCUGAGUAAAAUAGAAGAGGAAAUGACUGAUAAAACAGAAAACAAUGAUAUGGAUUUGGACAAUUGUGAGGAUAUGCAUAUUAAUGAAGAGCAAAACAUUGACAAUGAUGAUAAUGAGAUGAGUGAUGAAACACUUCAUGAUCGACAGCAGCAUGGUUUGUUUAUGGAUUCAUGUUUGCAGCCAGUGGACAUUGCACAAGAAGUCUUAGAUCAACACUUUGAUGGCAUUAUGUCACUUGCACCAGCAGAGGGCAAUAAUCCAGUGAGAAUGCUAAUGGAUGAAACUAAUGAAGCCAAAUGUUUUCCAGUUCUGUUCCCAAAAGGAAAAGGUACAUUUCAUGAUUCACGACCUGAGAAAUUAACACUGUCUAGGUAUUUAAACAACAGAAUUUUAAAUGCAGAUGGACGUUUUGCCCAAAACCUCGAUUACAUCUUUUAUGGACAAUAUUUGUCAGAGCUGAAUCAAAUUAUGUCUAAUGUAUCUAUUGCAUUGAGGAAAGGCUAUGAUUCAAGCAACAAAACUAAAAUUACCUCAGAAAUGCUGACAAACAAAGACUCACUUCAAAGAAUUUUCAAUUAUGAUGAGGGUUACAAGUUUUUAAGGCCAGUGAGAGGCAGUCCUGUUUUUUGGCAAGCUGUUCAAAAAGAUUUGUUUGCAAUGGUAAGGCAACUUGGGAUCCCAACAUGGUUUUGUUCAUUUUCAUCAGCUGAUUUGCGAUGGCCAGAGUUAAUGCAGUGUAUUGUCAAACAAGAGGGUUGUCAAACUCCUAUUGAUGAACUGGACUGGUCUGAUAGAUGUGGGAUGCUGAAACGAAACCCAGUAACUGCUGCCAGAAUGUUUGAUCAUCGAUUCCACUGUUUUCUGAAAGAUGUCAUUAUGUCACCAGCUCAACCCAUUGGAAAAAUAAUAGAUUAUUUCUAUCGAAUUGAAUUUCAACAACGUGGAUCACCUCACACACAUUGUCUGUUUUGGGUUGAGAAUGCACCUCAAGUGGACAGAGAGGACGAUGAUGAAGUUGUAGAAUUUGUUGAUCGUUAUGUCAGUUGUGAAAUGCCAGCUGAAGAUGAAACAGAAAUGCAUGAAAUUGUGAGCACUGUCCAACAGCACAGCAAAAGACAUGCAAAAACGUGUAGAAAGAAAGGCACUACAUGUAGAUUUAACUUUCCACGUCCACCUAGCAAUAAUACUUUCAUUACAAGAAGCAGACAAACAGAUAAGAAUGAAAAAACAACAGUUGAUGGACAAUGUGAAAGUAAAGACCAAAAGGUAAACAAUUCUAAAGAGAUAUCAAAAGAAUUAGCUGAAAGUAUAAUGAAGAAAGUAAGAGAAUGUUUGCUGAACAGUGAUGCUAUCUUUGACUCUGUUGACUCUAUGUUUGCAUCUAUUGGUAUAAAUCAAGAGAUAUUUGAAUGCGCUUAUAACAAAAUGACAAAGAAAACAAAUGUUGUGCUGAAAAGGAAACCAAGUGAUGUUUGGGUGAAUCAGUAUAAUAAAGAUCUUUUGCGAUGCUGGAAUGCAAACAUGGACAUACAGUUUGUUGUUGAUGCUUACUCUUGCAUAGUGUAUAUCAUUUCCUACAUUUCAAAAGCAGAGAGAGAAAUGGGAUUGCUGUUGGCAAAUGCACAGAAAGAAGCACACAAGGAUGGCAAUAUGGAUGCAAAACAAGCUUUAAGAAAACUUGGAAGUGUUUUUCUUCAUAAUAGAGAGGUCUCAGCUCAAGAGAGUGUUUAUCGUUUGACUAAUAUGAGAUUAAAAGAAGGAUCGAGGAAAGUGGUUUUUUUAUUCCAACUGGUAUUAAU
ensembl:lncRNA